AUAAUAUUCAGACCCUUUUUUGCCUUUCUAAUUUGAAACCAUGUUUUACAGGUCAGAGUGCGAUUACAUUCAUCUACGACUUUGUGGAGGAAUUCAAAGGACCCCAUCCUGGAUUUGCUGCCAUUGAUGGGCGGCCAUCAACAGGCUCACUGGCUAAGCUGCUGCUAACACUGACAGGAGAGAAAGGUCCGGAGGCUCUAGAGCUGCAGGAGGUUGUUCUCAUGGAGGUGUCCGGGGUCAAAGUGUCUAAUGGAACCAUUGAGAAAAUGGGUAAUGGAGAUUACCUGGUUACUGUGAACGAAGUGCCAGAAGGAGAGUUUGUAGUAAUGCUGAAAGGAAAAGACAAGACCUUCACCAGCCUGUUCCAGAGGCAGACCACCACACAGAUGUCUCAAGUCUAAAGUCACCAUCAAGGCAAUAGCAGACAGCUCCAUGCUACCAGGACAAGUAUUUAAACUCAAUUUUACUGUUACAACCAAUGGAACCAGUGGUAUCUACACAAUCCGUGCAAGGAAUGACAAAAACAUCCCUAUGACACAUCCAUCAACGUAAUUUCUUCACUUGGUUCUCAAAUCACUCCGUAAUGACUGACAUACAAGCUUUAAUCAGCUUUUCUUAUCAAGAACAAAACUCUUUGCUACAAUUCUGUUUCUUUGCCCUCACAGGCUCAAUCUCGUGAGUGGCGGCAGUGCUCAGGGGACAGUGUCUCUCACUCCACCUGGUAAUACGGUCUCAG
rnacentral:lncRNA from 1 species